rnacentral:lncRNA from 1 species
CCCUUUAGGCACUCAACGCCCCCUUUGCCCCCCCCGCCGAUCUUGGGCCCUUUAAUCAACACCUUUAUCCCCUUUUGGGACCCCAGUUUCGUUCGCCCACCCCCCCCCCUUUAAGCCCCUCCCCCCUUUGGCCCAGCCCUUUUUGACCCCUCCCCCUUUUGACUCCGCCCCCUUAAAGCCCCUAUGGGGAUGAAUGGGGCCAAAUGGGGCCAAAUAGGGCCAAAGGGGGACACAGUGGGGAUGAAUGGGGCCAAAUAGGGCCUAAUAGGGCCAAAGGGGGAUGCAGUGGGGGUCAGAUGGGGACAGAUGGGGAUGAAUGGGGACACUGUGGGGAUGAAUGGGGGGACAAAUGGACGCAUAUAGUGACACCCCCCCACAGCCGCCAUCAAGGCACCAGCGCCGGACGUCACUACGCCGUGGGACAACGAAUAUCAAGAGCACUGCGUUGCCCCCCCCCAGACGGGUCCGUGUCGCGCCGCCUUCCAGCGCUGGUUUUACAGCCCCGAAUCCCGGCAGUGCCGGACCUUCAUCUACGGCGGCUGCCGGGGGAACAGGAAAGCAACUCACAGCCAAUAGGGAGGAGUGUCAUGCAAGCGCUUGCAACGGGGGUAAUAAGAGCAGCAGUUGGCAUCUCAACAGCUGCUUUUUGCUGGCCCUGCUGUUGCUGCUGGCCCUGCUGGUUCUGGUGGUUCUGGUUCUGACCCGUUGUGGUGCCACCACCCGAUAUUGGCAGCUCCGAAGAUCCAGCGCCGAUAAAGAGAAGCUGAUGAGCAGCGCUGAAGCCUGAACCCAAAAACGCUGGUUUUUACCCGGCGCCCCAAACAUGAGGCGUCUGCUGACGCCCUAAAUGGGGCUUUUCUAUACCACAAAAUGACUAGAUAUUCUACUUCUUUGGGUACCCAAAAAUGUUCAACUUUUUGCCCAAAAUAAGACAUUUUUCGCCCCC